rnacentral:miRNA from 1 species
GGGUGUGGGGGUGGGGAGCACUUCGUGCUUCUGGUUGAAGAGAAAAUGAUCAUAGCACUUCCCCCAGCUUUUUCU